CCUACGGGUGGCAGCAGUGGGGAAUAUUGCACAAUGGGGGGAACCCUGAUGCAGCGACGCCGCGUGGGUGAAGAAGCGCCUCGGCGCGUAAAGCCCUGUCAGCCGGGAAGAAAAUGACGGUACCUGAAGAAGAAGCCCCGGCUAACUACGUGCCAGCAGCCGCGGUAAUACGUAGGGGGCAAGCGUUAUCCGGAUGUACUGGGUGUAACGGGGGCGCAGACGGCGAUGCAAGCCAGGAGUGAAAGCCCGGGGCUCAACCCGGGGACUGAUCGUGGUACUGCGUGGCUGGAGUGCAGGAGGGGGAGGUGGAAUUCCUGGGGUAGCGGUGAAAUGCGUAGAUAUCAGGAGGAACACCGGUGGCGAAGGCGGCCUGCUGGACGGCAAUUGACGUUGAGGCGCGAAAGCGUGGGGAGCAAACAGGAUUAGAUACCCGUGUAGUC
rnacentral:rRNA from 1 species